UACGUAGGGGGCUAGCGUUGUUCGGAAUCACUGGGCGUAAAGCGCACGUAGGCGGCUUUUUAAGUCAGAGGUGAAAGCCUGGAGCUCAACUCCAGAACUGCCUUUGAUACUGAGGAGCUAGAGUCCGGGAGAGGUGAGUGGAAUUCCGAGUGUAGAGGUGAAAUUCGUAGAUAUUCGGAAGAACACCAGUGGCGAAGGCGGCUCACUGGACAGGUACUGACGCUGAGGUGCGAAAGCGUGGGGAGCAAACAGG
rnacentral:rRNA from 1 species